GACGAACGCUGGCGGCGUGCCUAAUACAUGCAAGUCGAACGAGAGCGACCGGUGCUUGCACUGGUCAAUCUAGUGGCGAACGGGUGAGUAACACGUGGGUAACCUGCCCAUCAGAGGGGGAUAACAUCCGGAAACGGAUGCUAAAACCGCAUAGGUCUUCGAACCGCAUGGUUUGAAGAGGAAAAGAGGCGCAAGCUUCUGCUGAUGGAUGGACCCGCGGUGCAUUAGCUAGUUGGUGAGGUAACGGCUCACCAAGGCCGUGAUGCAUAGCCGACCUGAGAGGGUGAUCGGCCACAUUGGGACUGAGACACGGCCCAAACUCCUACGGGAGGCAGCAGUAGGGAAUCUUCCGCAAUGGACGCAAGUCUGACGGAGCGACGCCGCGUGAGUGAAGAAGGUUUUCGGAUCGUAAAACUCUGUUGUUAGAGAAGAACAAGUGCUAGAGUAACUGUUAGCGCCUUGACGGUAUCUAACCAGAAAGCCACGGCUAACUACGUG
rnacentral:rRNA from 1 species